CAAAAAGCAGGGCUCUGUUUUUGUACGUAACAGAGUUCACGUAAAUGUCAGGAACAUCGAAUUGGUCAUCGUGUUUGGGUGAACCUACGUUUUUUUUUUUAAUAUCUGAUGGGUUCAGUUCAUGAUGGUACAUUU
rnacentral:snoRNA from 1 species